rnacentral:rRNA from 1 species
AUAUUGCACAAUGGGGGAAACCCUGAUGCAGCGACGCCGCGUGAGCGAAGAAGUAUUUCGGUAUGUAAAGCUCUAUCAGCAGGGAAGAAGAAUGACGGUACCUGACUAAGAAGCUCCGGCUAAAUACGUGCCAGCAGCCGCGGUAAUACGUAUGGAGCAAGCGUUAUCCGGAUUUACUGGGUGUAAAGGGAGCGUAGGCGGUGCUAUAAGUCUGAUGUGAAAGCCCGGGGCUCAACCGCGGGACUGCUUUGGAAACUGUAGAUCUAGAGUGCUGGAGAGGUAAGUGGAAUUCCUAGUGUAGCGGUGAAAUGCGUAGAUAUUAGGAGGAACACCAGUGGCGAAGGCGGCUUACUGGACAGUAACUGACGUUGAGGCUCGAAAGCGUGGGGAGCAAACAG